GAUGAACGCUAGCGGCAGGCCUAACACAUGCAAGUCGAGGGGUAGAGUUAGCUUGCUAACUUGAGACCGGCGCACGGGCGCGUAACGCGUAUGCAAUCUACCUUAUACUGAGGGAUAGCCCGGAGAAAUCCGGAUUAAUACCUUAUAGUUAAUAAAAAGGCAUCUUUUAAUUAUAAAGAUUAAUUGGUAUAAGAUGAGCAUGCGUCCCAUUAGUUAGUUGGUAAGGUAACGGCUUACCAAGACGAUGAUGGGUAGGGGUCCUGAGAGGGAGAUCCCCACACUGGUACUGAGACACGGACCAG
rnacentral:rRNA from 1 species